AUUGAGCGCUGGCGGCAUGCCUUACACAUGCCAGUCGAACGGCAGCACGGGUGCUUGCACCUGGUGGCGAGUGGCGAACGGGUGAGUAAUACAUCGGAACAUGUCCUGUAGUGGGGGAUAGCCCGGCGAAAGCCGGAUUAAUACCGCAUACGAUCUACGGAUGAAAGCGGGGGACCUUCGGGCCUCGCGCUAUAGGGUUGGCCGAUGGCUGAUUAGCUAGUUGGUGGGGUAAAGGCCUACCAAGGCGACGAUCAGUAGCUGGUCUGAGGGGACGACCAGCCACACUGGGACUGAGACACGGCCCAGACUCCUACAGGAGGCAGCAGUGGGGAAUUUUGGACAAUGGGCGAAAGCCUGAUCCAGCAAUGCCGCGUGUGUGAAGAAGGCCUUCGGGUUGUUAAGCACUUUUGUCCGGAAAGAAAUCCUUGGCCCUAAUACGGUCGGGGGAUGACGGUACCGGAAGAAUAAGCACCGGCUAACUACGUG
rnacentral:rRNA from 1 species